GCGGCCAUCGUCCAAGAGGAGGACUCCUGGCUUCCAACCAGGGAAUGCGGGUGCAAGUCCCGCUGGCCGCUCCA
rnacentral:tRNA from 1 species